CAGUCGCCACGGUAAUACGUAGGGUGCAAGCGUUAAUCGGAAUUACUGGGCGUAAAGCGUGCGCAGGCGGUUUCGUAAGACAGAUGUGAAAUCCCCGGGCUCAACCUGGGAAUGGCAGUGGAUACUGGCUCGCUAGAGUGUGUCAGAGGAUGGUGGAAUUCCCGGUGUAGCGGUGAAAUGCGUAGAGAUCGGGAGGGACAUCAGUGGCGAAGGCGGCCAUCUGGGACAACACUGACGCUGAGGCACGAAAGCGUGGGGAGCAAACAGGAUUAGAGACCCGUGUAGUCCCUGUCUCUUAUAA
rnacentral:rRNA from 1 species